UACGUAGGGUGCGAGCGUUAAUCGGAAUUACUGGGCGUAAAGCGUGCGCAGGCGGUUUUGUAAGCCAGGUGUGAAAUCCCCGGGCUCAACCUGGGAAUUGCAUCUGUGACUGUAUAGCUAGAGUACGGUAGAGGGGGAUGGAAUUCCGCGUGUAGCAGUGAAAUGCGUAGAUAUGCGGAGGAACACCGAUGGCGAAGGCAAUCCCCCUGGACCUGUACUGACGCUCAUGCACGAAAGCGUGGGGAGCAAACAGG
rnacentral:rRNA from 1 species